rnacentral:rRNA from 1 species
CCUACGGGUGGCAGCAGUAGGGAAUCUUCCACAAUGGGCGAAAGCCUGAUGCAGCAACGCCGCGUGGGUGAAGAAGGUCUUCGGAUCGUAAAACCCUGUUGUUAGAGAAGAAAGUGCGUGAGAGUAACUGUUCACGUUUCGACGGUAUCUAACCAGAAAGCCACGGCUAACUACGUGCCAGCAGCCGCGGUAAUACGUAGGUGGCAAGCGUUAUCCGGAUUUAUUGGGCGUAAAGGGAACGCAGGCGGUCUGUUAAGUCUGAUGUGAAAGCCUUCGGCUUAACCGGAGUAGUGCAUUGGAAACUGGGAGACUUGAGUGCAGAAGAGGAGAGUGGAACUCCAUGUGUAGCGGUGAAAUGCGUAGAUAUAUGGAAGAACACCAGUGGCGAAAGCGGCUCUCUGGUCUGUAACUGACGCUGAGGUUCGAAAGCGUGGGUAGCAAACAGGAUUAGAUACCCCAGUAGUC